rnacentral:tRNA from 1 species
AAAGGGAGACUUAAUUCAGGUAGGAGACGAAAAAAAAGUAGUCGCUACCAAGAAUCAAUCCCAAAAGGUCGGAGCGAGGCGAAAUUGGCUUUCAAACUAGGUUCUGGGUUCAAACAAGACCUGAAUCAGGAACAAGGGCUAUUAGCUCAGGUGGUUAGAGCGCACCCCUGAUAAGGGUGAGGUCCCUGGUUCGAGUCCAGGAUGGCCCACCUGCACAGGUGGCAAAAACAAGAGAAGCGAGGAAUCAGCACCUUAUCUUACUUAUAUAGUAAGAGAGAAUGCUGGCUCUGAGUAAAGAGUCCAGAGGAACCUUGAAAACUGCAUAGAGCUAGGUGAAAAAGCCAAAAAAGAAGACCGCAAG